GAGACUCGUCGCACCGAAGCCGCCGCCACCACCGCGCCUCCGCCUCGCCCGCCGCCGCAGCUGCUUCUGGUCCCUGUCCCUUUGCCGCCCUUGUCAGGCCCAGCUCUCCUGCGCCGCCGCCUCCCGCCGCGCCCCGCCAUGCCGCUCUACUCCGUUACUGUAAAAUGGGGAAAGGAGAAAUUUGAAGGUGUAGAAUUGAAUACAGAUGAACCUCCAAUGGUAUUCAAGGCUCAGCUGUUUGCGUUGACUGGAGUCCAGCCUGCCAGACAGAAAGUUAUGGUGAAAGGAGGAACGCUAAAGGAUGAUGAUUGGGGAAACAUCAAAAUAAAAAAUAUGGAGUUACCAUGUGGAUUGACAAACCUUGGUAACACUUGUUACAUGAAUGCCACGGUUCAGUGUAUUCGUUCUGUGCCUGAACUCAAAGAUGCCCUUAAAAGGUAUGCAGGUGCCUUGAGAGCUUCAGGGGAAAUGGCUUCAGCGCAGUAUAUUACUGCAGCCCUUAGAGAUUUGUUUGAUUCCAUGGAUAAAACUUCUUCCAGUAUUCCACCUAUUAUUCUACUGCAGUUUUUGCACAUGGCUUUCCCACAGUUUGCCGAGAAGGGUGAACAAGGACAGUAUCUUCAACAGGAUGCUAAUGAAUGUUGGAUACAAAUGAUGCGAGUAUUGCAACAGAAAUUGGAAGCCAUAGAGGAUGAUUCUGUUAAAGAGACAGACUCUUCAUCUGCAUCGGCAGCGACACCUUCUAAAAAGAAAAGUUUAAUUGAUCAGUUCUUCGGUGUUGAGUUUGAAACUACCAUGAAAUGUACAGAAUCUGAAGAAGAGGAAGUCACCAAAGGAAAGGAAAACCAACUUCAGCUUAGCUGUUUUAUCAAUCAGGAAGUCAAGUAUCUUUUUACAGGACUUAAAUUGCGACUUCAGGAAGAAAUCACCAAACAGUCUCCAACGUUGCAAAGAAAUGCCUUGUAUAUCAAAUCUUCCAAGAUCAGCCGGCUACCUGCUUACUUGACCAUUCAGAUGGUUCGAUUUUUUUAUAAAGAGAAGGAAUCUGUGAAUGCCAAAGUUCUUAAGGAUGUUAAAUUUCCUCUUAUGUUGGAUAUGUAUGAACUGUGUACACCAGAACUUCAGGAGAAAAUGGUGUCUUUUCGAUCCAAAUUCAAGGAUCUAGAAGAUAAAAAAGUGAAUCAGCAGCCAAAUACAAGUGACAAAAAGAGUAGUCCCCAGAAAGAAAUUAAGUAUGAACCCUUUUCUUUUGCUGAUGGUAAGUAACAUUUUCAUUUUAAUUAAGUUAUUGUAUAACUCAAUUAAAUUGUCUUUUUAAGGUAAAAUUUAUGUCUUGCCCCAUAUUUACUUAUUCUGAUGUGCUUUUCAAACAACAUGUCAGGUUUCUUGAACAAUUUACCUUAAUGACGUAUAGUAAAUUUACUCGUUGGCAUACAGUUCUAUGAGUAAGUUACUUCUUAAAACAUCAAUCAUGAAGCCUUAACUAUGUAUCUUAUUGGAUUCUGAUAAUACUUUCCUAAUGUGAACUUUAGAGUUAUUCUUGAUUGUUACUUAGCUUGAGAAGGCACAUGUCUAUUCAUUGUCUAAUAUUAAUGGAUUUACAUCUUUCUUUAGAUAUUGGCUCCAAUAAUUGUGGAUACUAUGACUUACAAGCAGUACUAACACACCAGGGAAGGUCUAGUUCUUCAGGUCAUUAUGUAUCGUGGGUGAAAAGGAAACAAGAUGAAUGGAUUAAGUUUGAUGAUGACAAAGUCAGCAUCGUAACACCAGAAGAUAUCUUACGGCUUUCUGGUGGUGGAGACUGGCAUAUCGCUUACGUUCUACUCUAUGGGCCUCGCAGAGUUGAAAUAAUGGAAGAGGAGAGUGAAUAGUAAUCUUCAUUUUAGCUAUUUAUGCUUAGAUGUGAAAAUAAAUGUUAUUUGUUGAUCAUUUCUAUAAUCCAGAGCUUUAGAGGAAGACACAUAGGUGGUUUUAUGUUUCACCUCAUUUGGAACAAAAGAGGACAGAAGCAGACCACUCUGUGCACCAACCUAAAAAAUUACAGAGAAAAUUAUCUUUGGAUUGUGCUGCCCUAUAUAAAGGUGGCAGAAAGACAUUUUUUAAAAGCUUAUUAUUUCUUGCAUUAUUUUAAAAAGUUCAGAGUUGAAAUGCCUUUCAACCAUUUCCUUCUGUGGUUAUUUUUCUUGCUGCCUUUUUCACCCAAGAUUCAGCAAUCAGAUGUUUAUUGCACACCUAUUACCUAUUAUUUGUUGUUCUUGCAUGGUUCAAACCAUCAUUCUGUAGCCACCCAUCCUUGCCUUAUCUAACAAACAUUUUUCCAGGAAGGUGGAAAAGGAAGUGUUGAUCUUCUUGUGUGACUCAGUGCUGCUGUCCAUCCCAUGGAAACAUGGGCGCAAUCAAGUAUUUGUACAGCCUAUUGCAGGCUUUUCCUGACUUUAAAAUAAAUUAUGAUCAAUAAUAGUACAUUUGAUUAUACAUUUAUUAUUGUGUCUCUCUCUGAUGUACUGUGGAUUGUACAUUUAACUUUGGAAUGGCUUUGUAAUAAUCAGUCUUAAGAAAAUGUUGACAAGCUCUGGUUGCUUAUUUUUAGAAAAUGAGGACAUUUAAUAAUAAUAAAAAAAAGAGGGAUUAAUAGCUUUUGACCUCAAGUCUUUUGUCUUCUGAGUGUUGGAGCUUGGCUGAAGAUAUGUUUAAUACUGUACAAUUUCUGAAGAUGGUUAUUAACACUGUGCUGUUAAGCAUCCAUUUAAAAAUAUUUGUUAUCUUCUUUGCCUGCCUGUAUUUUAAAAAGAAAUACAAAGUUGUAAAAGUAAUGGAUUUCUUUGGAUGCUGAAUGCAGUGAUGUGAUCAGUCAGAUUCUUUCCUUGGCUCAGUUGUGUUUGUAUUUCCUUUCUUAAUUCCCCAAAUCUUGGCUGGGUGCGGUGACUCAUGCCUGUAAUCCCAGCACUUUGGGAGGCUGAGGCAGGUGGAUCACUUGAGGUUGAGUUCGAGACCAGCCUGGCCACAUGGUGAAACCCUGUCUCUACUAAAAAUACAAAAAUUAGCUGGAUGUGGUGGUGCACACCUGUAAUCCCAGCUACUUGGGAGGCUGAGGUGGGAGAAUUGCUUGAACCCGGAAGGCGGAAGUUGCAGUGAGCUGAGAUCAUGCCACUGCACUCCAGCCUGGGUGACAGAGAGACUCUGUCUC
rnacentral:sRNA from 1 species